rnacentral:rRNA from 1 species
AUGGCAAUUGUCCAUACAUACGGGAAGCCUGACAUCUUCUUGACCAUGACUUGCAACCCUAAAUGGGAAGAGAUAACAAAUGAGUUGCUUCCUGGACAGACAGCGCAAGACCGACCUGAUAUUGUGUCUCGCGUGUUCUAUGGCAAACUAGAGGCUAUGAAAGAUAUGUUGCUCAAGAAGAUGGUCCUGGGUGUUAUUGUUGCUUAUGUGUACGUAGUCGAGUUCCAGAAGAGAGGCCUCCCCCACGCACAUUUUUUGUUGAUCAUGGAUUCAACAUAUAAGCUUCUUGUCCCACAGCAGUAUGACCGACUCAUUUCCACAGAGCUCCCAAACAGGCAGAAGUAUCCGAAAUUGUACGCAAUGGUGGUAAAACAUAUGAUGCACAGACCAUGCGGUGCUCUCAACCCGAAGAAUGUUUGCAUGCAAGAUAAUGAAUGCAAGUGCAGAUACCCGCGGCCGUUCAAUGAGAACACGGUACAAGGCAAGGACUCAUACCCAGUUUACCGGCGUAGAGACGAUGGUAGACAGCGCUAA